rnacentral:rRNA from 1 species
CUUAAGUGGGGAAUAACGCAUCGAAAGGUGUGCUAAUACCGCAUAAUCUCUGAGGAGAAAAGCAGGGGAUCGCAAGACCUUGCGCUUUUGGAGCGGCCGAUGUCUGAUUAGCUUGUUGGUAAGGUAAAAGCUUACCAAGGCUUCGAUCAGUAGCUGGUCUGAGAGGACGACCAGCCACACUGGGACUGAGACACGGCCCAGACUCCUACGGGAGGCAGCAGUGGGGAAUUUUGGACAAUGGGGGCAACCCUGAUCCAGCCAUGCCGCGUGAGUGAAGAAGGCCUUCGGGUUGUAAAGCUCCUUCAGCCGGAACGAAACGGUUACGGUUAAUACCCGUGACUACUGACGGUACCGGAAGAAGAAGCACCGGCUAACUACGUGCCAGCAGCCGCGGUAAUACGUAGGGUGCGAGCGUUAAUCGGAAUUACUGGGCGUAAAGCGUGCGCAGGUGGUUUUGUAAGUCAGAUGUGAAAUCCCCGGGCUCAACCUGGGAACUGCGUUUGAAACUACAAGGCUAGAGUGUGGCAGAGGGGGGUGGAAUUCCGCGUGUAGCAGUGAAAUGCGUAGAGAUGUGGAGGAACACCGAUGGCGAAGGCAGCCCCCUGGGUCAACACUGACGCUCAGGCACGAAAGCAUGGGGAGCAAACAGGAUUAGAUACCCUGGUAGUCCAUGCCCUAAACGAUGUCAACUAGUUGUCGGGCCUUAACGGGCUUGGUAACGUAGCUAACGCGUGAAGUUGACCGCCUGGGGAGUACGAUCGCAAGAUUAAAACUCAAAGGAAUUGACGGGGACCCGCACAAGCGGUGGAUUAUGUGGAUUAAUUCGAUGCAACGCGAAAAACCUUACCUACCCUUGACAUGUAUCGAAGCCCGCAGAAAAGCGGGGGUGCCCGAAAGGGAACGAUAACACAGGUGCUGCAUGGCUGUCGUCAGCUCGUGUCGUGAGAUGUUGGGUUAAGUCCCGCAACGAGCGCAACCCUUGUCAUUAAUUGCCAUCAUUUAGUUGGGCACUUUAAUGAGACUGCCGGUGACAAACCGGAGGAAGGUGGGGAUGACGUCAAGUCCUCAUGGCCCUUAUGGGUAGGGCUUCACACGUAA